UUAGCCUCACCCAGUUUUCCACG
rnacentral:miRNA from 1 species